AAACCAAGAUGUGGGCAAUGCCUAAGUAGGUUCUUAUAUUGAUCCCAAGCUUCAUAUAAUGACUUACCAUCAAACUAUAUGAACAAAGUGAUAUCAUUCCUCAUUUU
rnacentral:snoRNA from 1 species